ensembl:lncRNA
CAUCGUCUCCGUUAUGUUGCGUUUGUGUCGCACGCAAAUGACGUUAACGACUUUCGGCUCGCUGCGCUAUGACGACUCCACCCACGAUGAGGCUAUAUGGAAAAACAACUAAACCGAGACGAGCCGAGUCAGAUACAAUAGUGGCGAACCGUACCGCGCAGAGUAGAUGCUUGUGGAAUCGCCUCGGCUGCGGAGACGACUGGUGAGGGUUAAGCCGGAGCUGGGCGAAGGAUGGCUGAGGUGAAGGUAGAAGAUGAACCGGGCAAGAGGAAAAGGUGCAACAGAAAAUUGGACUUUCCAAGCAUACUUGUGGAGAUGCACGCUGAGGAGGAGUGGAGUCAUGCCCAGCAUGAUGAGAACAUCUGGUUGCUCCUCAGCGAGGCAAGAGAGAAUGAAGCGGCCUUGCAGCGGGAGGAGAUGGUCCAGAAUGCUGCCUUCAACCAGUCAUUCCUGGGUGUACUGGGGCAGCUGGUGCAGGCAGUGGGCAGCCAGCGAGUCCACCUCCCAGAGACUUGAGAUUUAGUUGUAUAUAGUUUUACUUUUAGCCCUCUACUGUAGGAGAGGCCCACCACAGUUUGUACUUUACACAUUGUAAAUAGUUUUGAUUUUGCUGCUGACUAAUAAAC